UACGUAGGGUGCGAGCGUUGUCCGGAAUUAUUGGGCGUAAAGAGCUCGUAGGCGGUUCGGUAAGUCGGGUGUGAAACCUCCAGGCUCAACCUGGAGUCGCCACUCGAUACUGCUGUGACUAGAGUCCGGUAGGGGAGCGUGGAAUUCCUGGUGUAGCGGUGAAAUGCGCAGAUAUCAGGAGGAACACCAGCGGCGAAGGCGGCGCUCUGGGCCGGAACUGACGCUGAGGAGCGAAAGCGUGGGUAGCAAACAGG
rnacentral:rRNA from 1 species